rnacentral:rRNA from 1 species
UGCCAGCCGCCGCGGUAAUACGGAGGGUGCAAGCGUUAAUCGGAAUUACUGGGCGUAAAGCGUCUGUAGGCGGCUUAUUAAGUCGGAUGUGAAAUCCCAGGGCUCAACCUUGGAACUGCAUUCGAUACUGGUAGGCUAGAGUAUGUGAGAGGGUAGUGGAAUUUCUAGUGUAGCGGUGAAAUGCGUAGAUAUUAGAAGGAACAUCAGUGGCGAAGGCGACUGCCUGGCACAAUACUGACGCUCAGAGACGAAAGCGUGGGGAGCAAACAGGAUUAGAUA